UCCUACGGGGGGCAGCAGUAGGGAAUCUUCCACAAUGGGCGAAAGCCUGAUGGAGCAACGCCGCGUGGGUGAAGAAGGUCUUCGGAUCGUAAAACCCUGUUGUUAGAGAAGAAAGUGCGUGAGAGUAACUGUUCACGUUUCGACGGUAUCUAACCAGAAAGCCACGGCUAACUACGUGCCAGCAGCCGCGGUAAUACGUAGGUGGCAAGCGUUAUCCGGAUUUAUUGGGCGUAAAGGGAACGCAGGCGGUCUUUUAAGUCUGAUGUGAAAACCUUCGGCUUAAACGGAGUAGUGCAUUGGAAACU
rnacentral:rRNA from 1 species